rnacentral:tRNA from 1 species
GGGGAUUUAGCUCAGUGGCAUAAGCACUUGCCUUGCAAGCAGGCGGUCGUCAGUCGAUCCCCG